GAGUUUGAUCCUGGCUCAGGAUUAACGCUGGCGGCGUGCCUGACACAUGCAAGUCGAACGAGUUCUAGUUGCCCGCAAGGGUGACUAGCGCGAGUGGCGGACGGGUGAGUAACACGUGGGCAACCUGCCUGAGAGCGCGGAAUAACCCUGCGAAAGCAGAGCUAAUACCGCAUGUGGUUGUUGGUUGGCAUCUUCUAACAACUAAAGUCGCAAGACGCUCUCAGAUGGGGCCCGCGGCCUAUUAGCUAGUUGGUGAGGUAACGGCCCACCAAGGCAUUGAUGGGUAGCCUGGUCUGAGAGGACGGACAGCCACACUGGGACUGAGACACGGCCCAGACUCCUACGGGAGGCAGCAGUGAGGAAUUUUCCGCAAUGGGCGAAAGCCUGACGGAGCAACGCCGACGUGAGGGAUGAAGUCUCUAGGGAUGUAAACCUCU
rnacentral:rRNA from 1 species